rnacentral:lncRNA from 1 species
GAAAUCCCUUUGCCCUACAUUUGUGCACAGAACAAGAAAGAAACCCGAGUGUAGCUUUAGCGCGAACUGUCUCUGCAACAAACUUCUUUUCUGUAAACCACGAAAAUAGACAGAAAAUGAGAAAGCAAACCUUGGUCCAUCCCUCCAGCCUGCAAAGCUGCGAGGUCCGGACCCAUUUAAGAUGGCGAGAUGACUAGAGGCCUGGAGCUCCCUUGCUGAGGUGCUGGUGAGAAAGUCAAACCAUGCAAGCCUGUAUUGCAGAGUACUCUCUAUCCACUGUGGGAGCAGCUUUCCAGCUUCCCUCCCUUCUUCGGGGAUUCUCAAGCCAUCUCUCGCUGAACCUUGAAAGGAAAGCUUCAAUUAUGUAAACAACAUGGGUGAAUAACAGGCACACCCUCUUGGAGCAAGUACAGACUCCAUCCUUCUUUUGCAACCAAGCCCCAUAUCAAUGGACACCCAGCUGUCUCUCCCCUGGAGUGUCCCCGACAGUCACUAAUAGUGACAGGUUACAGCGGAUGUGUUGUGUCUAUGAUGACUACAAAGUUGGCUGUGAGUUGAAUCUUUCUGUAAUGACUCAUGUUGUAAGUAUUCCAUUCUGAAAUCAGAACCUUUGAUAACGUGUUAUUUAACUAAAUGUGACAUGGGAAAUUUUCUAUAUCAGAGCCAUACAAAGAGUAUUAAAAGCACUGAAAUACAAGAAGAGUGGGGACUGGGCAGCCCUGGAUUGACUGAUAGAUGCAGAGUGAAGACCCGAUGCAGAUAGGCAAGGAGGCACUGCUUUCUCGAUGAGCUGUAUUUAAGUGCACCUCAUCACAUGGCCCGAGACACUCGUGGUAGUACACAUCACUUCCAUUGUUCUUAUUAUGACAUAAGUGCUUUGUUGUUUCCUAGGAGAGCACACCAGAGUCCCUGCGAGUGGCUACAAUAACCACUGAUGCUUCUCCUCUCAAGAGCCCACCCUAUUCAUAUCUAACAGAAAUUUGACUUUUGUUCAGUUAUCCACCCUGCUCUGUGAAGUCAUGCUCUUCAGGUGCAGCUUGCUCAAACAUCGAGCCCAGGAAGCUGAGGGCUAAUUUUCUAGGUCAGUCAUGUGGAUUCUAACCUCCUUGCUGUAGUCAGUAGUUUAGGAAGAGGCAGAUGAUCAGACUGGUUACUGAGAAGAAGCUGACAUGAUCUUGAGUGCACCGUAGCUGGCAGAGAGAAGAGAAUGCAGCGUUGGGGUGGCUAUGACAUCACCGAAUUAAGCCAUCGCACAGGUGUCCUCUCCAGGGUAUAUUUUCACCACACUACUUUCCUGACAAUAACUUUCCUGUUGCUUAGCAGUGCCCCAUCCUAUUAUUUAGAGCUUAAAAAAUUUUCUGAUAGACAUUUUUCCUUUUUAAUAAAAGGCUACAUUUUAUUUAUAAAUAAAUAUGCAUAUUUAUUAUUA